AAUAGAUACCCUGGUAGUCCACGCCGUAAACGAUGUCGACUUGGAGGUUGUGCCCUUGAGGCGUGGCUUCCGGAGCUAACGCGUUAAGUCGACCGCCUGGGGAGUACGGCCGCAAGGUUAAAACUCAAAUGAAUUGACGGGGGCCCGCACAAGCGGUGGAGCAUGUGGUUUAAUUCGAUGCAACGCGAAGAACCUUACCUACUCUUGACAUCCAGAGAACUUAGCAGAGAUGCUUUGGUGCCUUCGGGAACUCUGAGACAGGUGCUGCAUGGCUGUCGUCAGCUCGUGUUGUGAAAUGUUGGGUUAAGUCCCGCAACGAGCGCAACCCUUAUCCUUUGUUGCCAGCGAUUCGGUCGGGAACUCAAAGGAGACUGCCAGUGAUAAACUGGAGGAAGGUGGGGAUGACGUCAAGUCAUCAUGGCCCUUACGAGUAGGGCUACACACGUGCUACAAUGGCAUAUACAAAGAGAAAGCGACCUCGCGAGAGCAAGCGGACCUCAUAAAGUAUGUCGUAGUCCGGAUUGG
rnacentral:rRNA from 1 species